AGCUAGCACAACUAACAUUAUCGUCAUUUCCAUCUUCAGACAUGGAAGCCAAUCUUGGAAGAUGAUUUGCUUCAUGGCUAAAGGAACCCUCAGAAGGCUGUCGCCGAAUGGUGGACUUUUGUGGGCUUUUCUGUUCAAGAUUUGCUUGCAGCUGUGCUUCCAAACUCUGAAGUUUGCUGGAUGUCUUUGCACAAAUACUCCUGGACGCUUGUAAUUCACUGUUCCGGUGCGCCAAAGCUUCUUUCAACAUCUUUGUUUCCUCCUCCAUUGCCAAAAGGCGUUCCGUUAGUUGCUCAUUCUCUUUAUGGAACUUCUGCACACUAUCAAAUGAAAAAU
rnacentral:misc_RNA from 1 species